rnacentral:rRNA from 1 species
ACGUAGGGACCAAGCGUUGUUCGGAUUUACUGGGCGUAAAGGGCGCGUAGGCGGCGCGGUAAGUCACUUGUGAAAUCUCUGAGCUUAACUCAGAACGGCCAAGUGAUACUGCAGUGCUAGAGUGUGGAAGGGGCAAUCGGAAUCCUUGGUGUAGCGGUGAAAUGCGUAGAUAUCAGGAGGAACACCGGUGGCGAAGGCGGAUCUCUGGACCAGUUCUGACACUGAUGAGCGAAAGCCAGGGGAGCAAACAGGA